GAUGAACGCUGGCGGCGUGCCUAAUACAUGCAAGUCGAGCGAACGGACGAGAAGCUUGCUUCUCUGAUGUUAGCGGCGGACGGGUGAGUAACACGUGGAUAACCUACCUAUAAGACUGGGAUAACUUCGGGAAACCGGAGCUAAUACCGGAUAAUAUUUUGAACCGCAUGGUUCAAAAGUGAAAGACGGUCUUGCUGUCACUUAUAGAUGGAUCCGCGCUGCAUUAGCUAGUUGGUAAGGUAACGGCUUACCAAGGCAACGAUGCAUAGCCGACCUGAGAGGGUGAUCGGCCACACUGGAACUGAGACACGGUCCAGACUCCUACGGGAGGCAGCAGUAGGGAAGCUUCCGCAAUGGGCGAAAGCCUGACGGAGCAACGCCGCGUGAGUGAUGGAGGUCUUCGGAUCGUAAAACUCUGUUAUUAGGGAAGAACAUAUGUGUAAGUGACUGUGCACAUCUUGACGGUACCUAAUCAGAAAGCCACGGCUAACUACGUG
rnacentral:rRNA from 1 species